rnacentral:rRNA from 1 species
AUUGAACGCUGGCGGCAUGCCUUACACAUGCAAGUCGAACGGCAACGCGGGGGCAACCCUGGCGGCGAGUGGCGAACGGGUGAGUAAUAUAUCGGAACGUGCCCUAGAGUGGGGGAUAACUAGUCGAAAGAUUAGCUAAUACCGCAUACGAUCUACGGAUGAAAGUGGGGGAUCGCAAGACCUCAUGCUCUGGGAGCGGCCGAUAUCUGAUUAGCUAGUUGGGAGGUAAAGGCUCACCAAGGCGACGAUCAGUAGCUGGUCUGAGAGGACGACCAGCCACACUGGGACUGAGACACGGCCCAGACUCCUACGGGAGGCAGCAGUGGGGAAUUUUGGACAAU